GUGUCAGCCGCCGCGGUAAUACGUAGGGUGCGAGCGUUAAUCGGAAUUACUGGGCGUAAAGAGUGCGUAGGCGGUUCGCUGUGUCCGAUGUGAAAGCCCCGGGCUCAACCUGGGAAUGGCAUGGGAAACUGGCGAGCUUGAGUGUGGCAGAGGGGGGUGGAAUUCCGCGUGUAGCAGUGAAAUGCGUAGAGAUGCGGAGGAACACCGAUGGCGAAGGCAGCCCCCUGGGCCAACACUGACGCUCAGGCACGAAAGCGUGGGGAGCAAACAGGAUUAGAAACCCUUGUAGUCC
rnacentral:rRNA from 1 species